AAUCCCAUCCUUCCAUUUGCAGACCUGAAUUAGAACCCCAAACCACAGCUAUCCUUGGGCUCCUCAGCUGUUGUCAUUCCAGGUGUCUUGAAGACAUUUUGUGCCAGAAACUCUGCGGGGGGCAGGAGCAAGGGAGGACAGAG